rnacentral:tRNA from 3 species
AAUAAAGUGGCUGAGUUGUAAGCGGCAGAUUGUAAAUCUGUAGACGAAUGAGAUUCCUUUAUUA